GACGAACGCUGGCGGCGUGCCUAAUACAUGCAAGUCGAGCGGACUUGACAGAGCUUGCUCUGUUCAAGUUAGCGGCGGACGGGUGAGUAACACGUGGGCAACCUGCCCUGCAGAUUGGGGUAACCCCGGGAAACCGGGGCUAAUACCUAAUAACAUUGAAAACCUCAUGGUUUUCUUUUAAAAGGCGGCUUCGGCUGUCACUGCAGGAUGGGUCCGCGGCGCAUUAGCUAGUUGGUGAGGUAACGGCUCACCAAGGCGACGAUGCGUAGCCGACCUGAGAGGGUGAUCGGCCACACUGGGACUGAGACACGGCCCAGACUCCUACGGGAGGCAGCAGUAGGGAAUCUUCCGCAAUGGACGAAAGUCUGACGGAGCAACGCCGCGUGAGUGAAGAAGGUUUUCGGAUCGUAAAACUCUGUUGUUAGGGAAGAACAAGUAUCGGAGUAACUGCCGGUACCUUGACGGUACCUGACCAGAAAGCCACGGCUAACUACGUGCCAGCAGCCGCAGUAACAC
rnacentral:rRNA from 1 species